AUUCUGCCCAUGCGGGGAAGGAUGAGAAGCUUCGACCUAAGGUUCGGCUCGAGCGUCAGCGAGAGAGCGUUGCCGCAGGCAACGACCCGAAGGGCGAAGCGCGCAGCGCUGAGUAAUCCUUCCCCCACCACCA
rnacentral:sRNA from 1 species